AACGCACCUUGCGCCCUCUGGUAUUCCGGAGGGCAUGCCUGUUUGAGUGUCAUAAACACCUCAUCCCUUCGGGUUUCCGAUUGGGUGGAUUUGGGUGCUGCCAGUCACAUGGCUCACCUUAAAUGCAUUAGCGGUUGUUGACGUGAUAAGUUUCGUCUCAUCGACCGCUGACAAUCUCCUUCGGGAUGCCUUUCUCAGGGCACUUUAUGAUCUGACCUCAAAUCAGGUAGGACUACCCGCUGAACUUAA
rnacentral:misc_RNA from 1 species